rnacentral:lncRNA from 1 species
GGUGUCCAUAUGCCAAGGGAGCUACCGGAAACGUUGCUACAGAAGAUGUUGUUUAUAUGCUCAACGGCCUCGGUGCAACGACCAAUGUAGACCUUACAAAGCUCUUGUUGGCUGGGGAUUUCAUCAGCAAGCAUUUGGGUCGUCAAUCUGGUUCUAAGACGGCAGUUGCAUUGAGCCGAACUACCAGCUGAUGACUGAUGAUGCUGCAAGUGCAAGUAUACAGAAACCGGCUGUUGUAAUCAAGUUUUUUUUUUUUUUCGAUGAGUGGGAAGUGAAGGCGAAAAUUCCCCGCAUAAAUUCUUGUAUA